UCGAGGGGCAGCGGGAUUGAAGCUUGCUUCAAUUGCCGGCGACCGGCGCACGGGUGAGUAACGCGUAUCCAACCUUCCGUACACUCAGGGAUAGCCUUUCGAAAGAAAGAUUAAUACCUGAUGGUAUGAUGAGAUUGCAUGAUAGCAUCAUUAAAGAUUCAUCGGUGUACGAUGGGGAUGCGUUCCAUUAGGUAGUAGGCGGGGUAACGGCCCACCUAGCCUACGAUGGAUAGGGGUUCUGAGAGGAAGGUCCCCCACAUUGGAACUGAGACACGGUCCAAACUCCUACGGGAGGCAGCAGUGAGGAAUAUUGGUCAAUGGACGAGAGUCUGAACCAGCCAAGUAGCGUGAAGGAUGAAGGUCCUACGGAUUGUAAACUUCUUUUAUAAGGGAAUAAAACCUCCCACGUGUGGGAGCUUGUAUGUACCUUAUGAAUAAGCAUCGGCUAACUCCGUGCCAGCAGCCGCGGUAAUACGGAGGAUGCGAGCGUUAUCCGGAUUUAUUGGGUUUAAAGGGAGCGCAGACGGGUCGUUAAGUCAGCUGUGAAAGUUUGGGGCUCAACCUUAAAAUUGCAGUUGAUACUGGCGUCCUUGAGUGCGGUUGAGGUGUGCGGAAUUCGUGGUGUAGCGGUGAAAUGCUUAGAUAUCACGAAGAACUCCGAUUGCGAAGGCAGCACACUAAGCCGUGACUGACGUUCAUGCUCGAAAGUGUGGGUAUCAAACAGGAUUAGAUACCCUGGUAGUCCACACGGUAAGCGAUGGAUACUCGCUGUUGGCGAUAUACUGUCAGCGGCUUAGCGAAAGCGUUAAGUAUCCCACCUGGGGAGUACGCCGGCAACGGUGAAACUCAAAGGAAUUGACGGGG
rnacentral:rRNA from 1 species